AACGAACGCUGGCGGCAUGCCUAACACAUGCAAGUCGAACGCUCGGCUUCGGCCGGGAGUGGCGCACGGGUGAGUAACGCGUGGGAACCUGCCCCGAGGUGGGGGAUAACCCGGCGAAAGCCGGGCUAAUACCGCAUACGUCCUGAGGGAGAAAGAUUGAUCGCCUUGGGAGGGGCCCGCGUCGGAUUAGGUAGUUGGUGGGGUAACGGCCUACCAAGCCGGUGAUCCGUAGCUGGUCUGAGAGGAUGGCCAGCCACACUGGGACUGAGACACGGCCCAGACUCCUACGGGAGGCAGCAGUGGGGAAUAUUGGACAAUGGGCGCAAGCCUGAUCCAGCAAUGCCGCGUGAGUGAUGAAGGCCUUAGGGUUGUAAAGCUCUUUCGCCCGCGACGAUGAUGACGGUAGCGGGAGAAGAAGCCCCGGCUAACUUCGUGCCAGCCGCCGCGGUAAC
rnacentral:rRNA from 1 species